rnacentral:rRNA from 1 species
UACGUAGGGGGCUAGCGUUGUCCGGAAUCAUUGGGCGUAAAGCGCGUGUAGGCGGUCCGGUAAGUCCGCUGUGAAAGCCAGGGGCUCAACCCUUGGAUGCCGGUGGAUACUGUCGGGCUUGAGUACGGAAGAGGCGAGUGGAAUCCUGGUGUAGCGGUGAAAUGCGUAGAUAUCAGGAGGAACACCGGUGGCGAAGGCGGAUCUCUGGGCCUUACCUGACGCUGAGGCGCGAAAGCUAGGGGAGCGAACAGG